CUGGCGCAGAAGAAGGGAGGCAGCUGGAGAUGUCAGACGCUACCUUCUGAGGAGCGACUCGUAACGCGAUGGAGCGAGGAAGGGAUCGCUUACACCUGAGAAGAACUACUGAACAGCACGUGCCAGAGGUGGAAGUCCAGGUCAAGCGUAGACGGACAGCCUCACUGAGCAAUCAGGAGUGCCACCUGUACCCACGUCGUGCUCAGCAGCAGCAGGUUCCUGUGGUGGAUUUCCAGGCAGAACUGAGACAGGCUUUCUUAGCUGAGACACCAAGAGGUGGUUAAAGCAGUAUUGAAACAUCAAGGAGGUGGAAGUCAAGGAAAACAGGACCGAUCCACUAUCUUUAAAAUCACCAGUCAAGCUUACAUUGUGUCUAAGCAAACCUACAUCACACCUUUAUUUAUAGCCCUCCCCAAAGUGUUAAAGGUCUUGAAAUUUUACUAUUGAAGCGUCUAUUGUGGAACAGCAAUCAUGACUGUGGGUAAGAGUAGCAAGAUGCUGCAGCACAUUGACUAUAGAAUGAGAUGUAUCCUGCAAGAUGGAAGAAUCUUCAUUGGCACCUUUAAGGCUUUUGACAAGCAUAUGAAUCUGAUUCUCUGUGAUUGUGAUGAGUUCAGG